rnacentral:rRNA from 1 species
GACGAACGCUGGCGGCGUGCUUAACACAUGCAAGUCGAACGGUAAGGCCCUUCGGGGUACACGAGUGGCGAACGGGUGAGUAACACGUGGGUGAUCUGCCCUGCACUUCGGGAUAAGCCUGGGAAACUGGGUCUAAUACCGGAUAGGACUACUGCCUGCAUGGGUGGUGGUGGAAAGCUUUUGCGGUGUGGGAUGGGCCGGCGGCGUAUCAGCUUGUUGGUGGGGUGAUGGCCUACCAAGGGGACGACGGGUGGCCGGCCUGAGCGGGUGACCGGACACACUGGGCAGGGGCUACGGCACGGACUCGUAAGGGAGGGAGGGGUGGGGAAUAUUGGACAGUGGGAGCAAGCCUGAUGCAGCGACGCCGCGUGAGGGAUGUCGGCCGUCGGGUUGUAAUCCUAUUUCAGCACCGACGAAGCGCAAGUGACGGUAGGUGCAGAAGAAGGACCGGCCAACUACGUGCCAGCCGCCGCCGUAA